GAUGAACGCUGGCGGCGUGCCUAAUACAUGCAAGUCGAGCGAAUGGAUUAAGAGCUUGCCCUUAUGAAGUUAGCGGCGGACGGGUGAGUAACACGUGGGUAACCUGCCCAUAAGACUGGGAUAACUCCGGGAAACCGGGGCUAAUACCGGAUAACAUUUUGAACCGCAUGGUUCGAAAUUGAAAGGCGGCUUCGGCUGUCACUUAUGGAUGGACCCGCGUCGCAUUAGCUAGUUGGUGAGGUAACGGCUCACCAAGGCAACGAUGCGUAGCCGACCUGGGAGGGGGAGCGGCCACAAUGGGACUGAGACACGGCCCAGACUCCUACGGGAGGCAGCAGUAGGGAAUCUUCCGCAAUGGACGAAAGUCUGACGGAGCAACGCCGCGUGAGUGAUGAAGGCUUUCGGGUCGUAAAACUCUGUUGUUAGGGAAGAACAAGUGCUAGUUGAAUAAGCUGACACCUUGACGGUACCUAACCAGAAAGCCACGGCUAACUACGUGCCAGCAGCCGCCGUAA
rnacentral:rRNA from 1 species